rnacentral:rRNA from 1 species
GAUGAACGCUGGCGGCGUGCUUAAUACAUGCAAGUCGAGCGAACAGAUUAGGAGCUUUCUCCGCUGACGUGAUCGGCGCAAGGGGGAGAAAAACGUGGAUAACCUACCUACAACACUUGGAUAUAUUCGCGAAACCGGGUCUCAUACCCGGGGAUAUCUUGAACCGCAUGGUUCAUGGGUUUGAGACGGUUUUGCUGGCACUGAUAGAUUUGUCCGCGCCGCAUUAGCUAGUUGGUAAGGUAAUGGCUUACGAAGGCAACGAUGCGUACCGGAACUGAGAGGGUGGGCGGGCACACUGGAACUGAGAGACGGGCCAGACUCCUAUGCGAGGCGGCAGAGGGGAGUAUACUGCAAUAGGGGAGAGCGUGACGGGGCGACGCGGCGUGUGUGAGAUAGGUGUCCGGAUCGUGAGACUCUGUUUUUCGGGAGAAACAAAUGUUGAACUAACUGGGCGCGUCUUGACGGUACGGGAUAAGAAAGCCACGGCUAACUACGUG